UACGUAGGGUGCGAGCGUUAAUCGGAAUUACUGGGCGUAAAGCGUGCGCAGGCGGUUUUGUAAGCCAGAUGUGAAAUCCCCGGGCUCAACCUGGGAAUGGCAUUUGGGACUGCAAGGCUGGAGUGCGGCAGAGGAGACUGGAAUUCCUGGCGUAGCAGUGAAAUGCGUAGAUAUCAGGAGGAAUACCGAUGGCGAAGGCAGGUCUCUGGGCUGACACUGACGCUCAUGCACGAAAGCGUGGGGAGCAAACAGG
rnacentral:rRNA from 1 species